UACCAGACUCCUACGGGAGGCAGCAGUGGGGGAUAUUGCACAAUGGGGGGAACCCUGAUGCAGCGACGCCGCGUGGGUGAAGGAGUGCUUCGGCAUGUAAAGCCCUAUCAGCAGGGAAGAACAAUGACGGUACCUGACUAAGAAGCACCGGCUAAAUACGUGCCAGCAGCCGCGGUAAUACGUAUGGUGCAAGCGUUAUCCGGAUUUACUGGGUGUAAAGGGAGCGCAGGCGGCGCGUUAAGCCUGGUGUGAAAGCCCGCGGCCCAACCGCGGGACUGCAUUGGGAACUGGCGCGCUGGAGUGCCGGAGGGGUAGGCGGAAUUCCUAGUGUAGCGGUGAAAUGCGUAGAUAUUAGGAGGAACACCAGUGGCGAAGGCGGCCUGCUGGACGAUGACUGACGUUGAGGCUCGAAAGCGUGGGGAGCAAACAGGAUUAGAUACCCGUAA
rnacentral:rRNA from 1 species